AAGACUAUACUUUCAGGGAUCAUUUCUACAGUUUGUUACUAGAGAUGUUUCUCUGAGAGUGUAAAUAGAGAGUGACAAGUGGGGGGAAUUUGGGUGGAAGUGCAUCCUGA
ensembl:snoRNA U3 Small nucleolar RNA U3